rnacentral:rRNA from 1 species
UGGGGAUGACGUCAAGUCAUCAUGGCCCUUACGGCCAGGGCUACACACGUGCUACAAUGGUCGGUACAAAGGGUUGCCAAGCCGCGAGGUGGAGCUAAUACCCAUAAAACCGAUCGUAGUCCGGAUCGCAGUCUGCAACUCGACUGCGUGAAGUCGGAAUCGCUAGUAAUCGUGAAUCAGAAUGUCACGGUGAAUACGUUCCCGGGCCUU